GGCGCCAUUUAAGGUACCCCAUGUUACCUAACACUUAAGAAAUUAUCAGUUGGGCCACAGUUACCUCUGUAGGCCAAAGCGGCAGAAAGGCAACUGGAGUGUUCUGGCAAUCAGGUUUACAGUUGAAAGCCUUAAGCAAAAGAAGACUGACUUCCCCAGAGCAAGAAGGAAUUCCAUCAGCACGCUGCCUUUGCAUUGAAGCUGCAGCGUCAACUCCACCCUGGUCUCCAGCCUACCAGCCCACUCUGCAGAUUUGGACUUGCCAGGCUUCACAAUCCUCAUCUCUCCCAUGUUCCAUGAAUUCUCAAGACACCCUCAGGAUGUUUGGUGAAUUACUUG